GUCUCCAUGGUGUAGUUGUUAUCACAUCUGCUUUAUAUGGAAAAGGUCCUGAGUUCAAUUCCCAGUGGAACCA
rnacentral:tRNA from 1 species